UACGAAGGGGACUAGCGUUGUUCGGAAUCACUGGGCGUAAAGCGCACGUCGGCGGAUGUGUCAGUCAGGGGUGAAAUCCCGGGGCUCAACCUCGGAACUGCCUUUGAUACAGCACGUCUCGAGUCCGGAAGAGGUGGGUGGAAUUCCUAGUGUAGAGGUGAAAUUCGUAGAUAUUAGGAAGAACACCGGUGGCGAAGGCGGCCCACUGGUCCGGUACUGACGCUGAGGUGCGAAAGCGUGGGGAGCAAACAGG
rnacentral:rRNA from 1 species